UACGAAGGGGGCUAGCGUUGCUCGGAAUCACUGGGCGUAAAGCGCACGUAGGCGGAUUGCUAAGUCAGGGGUGAAAUCCUGGAGCUCAACUCCAGAACUGCCUUUGAUACUGGUGAUCUUGAGUCCGGGAGAGGUGAGUGGAACUGCGAGUGUAGAGGUGAAAUUCGUAGAUAUUCGCAAGAACACCAGUGGCGAAAGGCGGCUCACUGGCCCGGUACUGACGCUCAGGCGCGAAAGCGUGGGAGCGAGUCCGG
rnacentral:rRNA from 1 species